UACGUAGGGCGCAAGCGUUGUCCGGAAUUAUUGGGCGUAAAGAGCUCGUAGGCGGUCUGUUACGUCCGCUGUGAAAACCCAGGGCUUAACCCUGGGCUUGCAGUGGAUACGGGUAGACUAGAGGCAGGUAGGGGAGAAUGGAAUUCCCGGUGUAGCGGUGAAAUGCGCAGAUAUCGGGAGGAACACCGGUGGCGAAGGCGGGUCUCUGGACAGUUCCUGACACUGAGGCACGAAGGCCAGGGGAGCAAACGGG
rnacentral:rRNA from 1 species